GCGUCAACACCCAGUGCCUCGGUGUCUGUGCCCGCGGCGGAGGCGACGGAGGCGCCGAGUCAGGGCGUGCGGCUGAGAUGCCAUUAAGCACGACUGGCGUCCUGAGCUCGUCUUCUACCACUUCCAACAGGUCGCGGAAUAGGACUCGCUAUCGGACCAAAGCUGUGAGCUCUGAGGUGGAUGAGAGCCUCUUUGGGGGUGUCAAGCCCCUGGCCCAGAAUGACAGCCCCAUCGUGCUGCUCCGAGAUAAGCAUGCCAUUCAGAAAACUCUCACUGCCCUGGGCUUGGACCACAAGCCAGAGACCAUCCAGCUCAUCACCCGGGACAUGGUCCGGGAGCUCAUUGUUCCCACCAAGGAUCCCUCCGGGGAAUCCCUUAUCAUGAGCCCUGAGGAGUUUGAGCGGAUCAAAUGGGCAUCCCACGUCCUGACUCGAGAAGAACUGGAGGCCAGGGAGCAGGCCUUCAGGAAGGAGAAGGAAGCCAUCAUGGAUGCAGUGAGCACACGCAAGAAGAUCAUGAAACAGAAGGAAAUGGUUUGGAGGAACAACAAGAAGCUGAGCGACCUGGAGGAGGUAGCCAAGGAGAGGGCCCAGAACCUCCUGCAGAGAGCCGACAAGCUGCGGAUGGAGCAGGAGGAGGAGCUCAAGGACAUGAGCAAGAUCAUCCUCAAUGCCAAGUGCCAUGCCAUCCGGGAUGCUCAAAUCCUGGAGAAGCAGCUGAUCCAAAAAGAAUUGGAGGCAGAGGAGAAGCGGCUGGAUCAGAUGAUGGAGGUGGAGCGGCAGAAAUCCAUUCAAAGGCAGGAGGAGCUGGACAGGAAGAGGAGGGAAGAAAGAGUCCGAGGAAGACGGCAUAUCGUGGAACAGAUGGAAAAGAACCAGGAAGAGCGAUCGCUGCUUGCUGAACAGCGGGAGCAGGAGAAGGAGCAGAUGCUGGAGUACAUGGAACAGCUCCAAGAGGAGGAUCUAAGGGACAUGGAACGGAGGCACCAGCAAAAACUGAAGAUGCAAGCUGAGAUUAAGCGUAUCAAUGACGAAAACCAGAAACAGAAAGCAGAGCUGCUGGCUCAGGAGAAGCUAGCAGACCAGAUGGUGAUGGAGUUCACCAAGAAGAAGAUGGCUCGAGAAGCAGAGUUUGAGGCUGAGCAGGAGAGAAUCCGGAGGGAGAAGGAGAAGGAGAUAGCCCGCCUGAGGGCCAUGCAGGAGAAGGCCCAGGAUUACCAGGCAGAGCAGGAUGCCUUGCGGGCUAAGCGCAACCAGGAGGUUGCAGACAGAGAGUGGCGCAGAAAGGAAAAGGAAAAUGCACAGAAGAAGGUGGAAACAGAGGCCAGACUGCGGAAAAGUCGGCUGGAACAGGUGGCUUUCAAGGAGCACACUCUGGCUGUUCAGGUGCAACGGGACCGAGAUGAGUUCGAGAGGAUUCUUCGGGCUCAGAGAGAGCAGAUUGAAAAAGAGAGGCUGGAGGAGGAGAAGAAGGCGACGGGGCGCUUACAGCACGCCAACGAGCUCCGGCGCCAGGUGCGCGAGAACCAGCAGAAGCAGGUGCAGGACCGGAUCGCCACCUUCGAGGAGGGCCGGCGCCUCAAAGAGGAGGCUCAGAAGCGGCGUGAGCGCAUUGAUAACAUCAAAAAGAAAAAGCUGGAAGAGCUGAGAGCCACCGGCCUUCCUGAGAAGUACUGCAUUGAAGCUGAGCGCAAAGCUAACAUCCUGCCAGCCACCUCUGUGAACUGAGGGCUGCCUGUGUGUCCCUCGGGAUGCUUUCAUGAGACAGAUUCCGCCCAGUCUCUGGGGCCCAGCACAAGGCCCAGCCCUGCAUGAAUGGAUGAAGGUUCUGCAGGAUAUGGCUGAUUUCCGUAAGGUGAAAACAUCUUUUAUCUUCAGUGUCUUUUAAUUCUUCUUCAGGUUUGUCAUCAGGAAUUCACAUACUCUUUACAAGCGAAUUCUUCUUUCCUCCACUGUUCCCUGGAUAACAGCUCAAUUCCUAACAUUUAAUCAACCACCCUUUGCCCUGGUGUUUUGUGGAUAGACUGGUGGGUUAGGCCACCCCUUUCAGUGAUGGGGACCAUUUCAGUGCAGUUUGCUUUUAUGAGUCCAGGUCAGCUGCAGGGUAUCACUUGAUGGGAGAGCUCUGGGCAUAUCCAGGCUCCUUCCUGGGCUCCCCCCUUCUUCUGAGGUGGACCAGCAGGAAUCACCAAGGCUUGGGAAGCCUGAGCAGGGGCUCAGGGAGUCCCUGGGUGGCAUGUGUCCGAAACUCUUGCCCGUCAGCCCUGAUCUGGGCUUCAAUCCCUAACCCCGACCCAGAUCUUGAAACUGAACCCCACACACAGAUCUUGUCCCUCUCUCUGUAACGAACCCUAACCCUUCCUUGUCUGGCCUCGACAGUCUCCCAUCAUACCACCUGUACCACCUCUAAGUUGCCUACUCUUCUCAUCCAACCAUGCCCUCACCUGGCAAUCCUCCAGCCCCAAGCCUUCACUGAGAGCUGGGCGGAAAGGCAGCAGCUGCCCUGGCUCCCUGGCUUCUCCGUGACUGUGUGCCUCUGUCUGCCCUCUCUGAGAUGCAGUAUUGUGUUGACUAUACCACGGCUAUUCAGGACUCCUGCUCCCAGACCAUUUCCUCAGAGGUUUUCUCUGCACUGCCACUCCCAGGGCUGGCUGUACACUCCUUGGUGUUGCAGGGGUGAGCCUAGGUCUACAUGGGGUCUUGGGAGUGGGGCUAAGCAGCCUGCCGACUGUGUGUUGGGGGAGUUUAAAAGGGUCAAGUUGUAGACCUUGGGCCCUGAAGAAGAGAUGGGGGCUUGAGCCCGAGCCUCGGGAGCCUGGGGGUAGGGGAUGGGGGUAGGCCAGGCAGGUGAGGGUAGGGUACAGGGCUUGUGUAGAGUUGCUGAGAAGGGCACUCUGGAGGAAGAGUAGAUGGGUCAAGGCCUCUGUCUGUCCUUCCCCAAGACGUUCUGGGGUUGGACUGCGCCUCAUCUCCGAAGCAGUCUGGGCUUCUCCAGGUCCUGGUCCCCUCUCUCCCCACCUCCUCUAUCUCUGUUCACUCCUUUCUAAGCCUCUGUCUUUGAUUUUGUUUCUGUCUUAGAAGAGAAGCAAAUACCACUCAAAUUGGGGCAUGUGCACAAAA